UUUUCUAUUAUCGUUUUCUCAGACUUCAAAGAUUCGAGUGUAAACCUUCGGCAGGCACACGCCCACUUUCGUCGACGGUGAUGAAUCAACGUCCCGCCGAAGCAACAGGUAAAACAACAUGGUGUGAGAGUACCGCGUCAGAGACGCGACCUCGGUAAUGAUCCUUCCGCAGGUUCCUAAGAUAAGUUAGUAUAAAGCAAAAUUUGUUAAGGUAGAGACAACUUACACCUACGGAAA
rnacentral:misc_RNA from 1 species